rnacentral:rRNA from 1 species
GACGAACGCUGGCGGCGUGCCUAAUACAUGCAAGUCGAGCGGACUUAGAAGGAGCUUGCUCCUUCUAAGUUAGCGGCGGACGGGUGAGUAACACGUGGGCAACCUGCCCUAUAGCAUGGGAUAACUCCGGGAAACCGGGGCUAAUACCAAAUAAUCCAAUCCAGCUCCUGCUAGAUUGUUGAAAGAUGGCAUCUCGCUAUCGCUAUAGGAUGGGCCCGCGGCGCAUUAGCUAGUUGGUAGGGUAAUGGCCUACCAAGGCGACGAUGCGUAGCCGACCUGAGAGGGUGAUCGGCCACACUGGGACUGAGACACGGCCCAGACACCUACGGGUGGCAG